rnacentral:rRNA from 1 species
CACGUAGGGUGCGAGCGUUGUCCGGAAUUAUUGGGCGUAAAGAGCUCGUAGGCGGUCAGUCGCGUCUGCUGUGAAAACUCAGGGCUUAACCCUGAGCUUGCAGUGGGUACGGGCAGACUAGAGUGCGGUAGGGGAGACUGGAAUUCCUGGUGUAGCGGUGAAAUGCGCAGAUAUCAGGAGGAACACCGGUGGCGAAGGCGGGUCUCUGGGCCGUAACUGACGCUGAGGAGCGAAAGCAUGGGGAGCGAACAGG